rfam:Pteropus vampyrus cont1.143454, whole genome shotgun sequence.
CAAUAUUUUUUUUCUCCAGUGGAGACUGCUGACCUGAAGCAGUCCUAGGGUCUCUAGAUGCUUUAGCCCAGAUCAAU